rnacentral:rRNA from 1 species
AUCUACAUCCAUACCACCCUGAACACGCCCGAUCUCGUCUGAUCUCGGAAGCUAAGCAGGGUCGGGCCUGGUUAGUACUUGGAUGGGAGAUUUUCUUACCAUCCCGAUGGCCUUUUUAGAAA